GGGUGUAUGACUCAGUUAGUAGAGCAUUUGGCUGUUGACAUAACGGUCGUAGGUUCAAAUCCUGCUAUAUCCU
rfam:Nicotiana sylvestris Nsyl_contig190032, whole genome shotgun sequence.